rnacentral:rRNA from 1 species
GGGCCCGCACAAGCGGUGGAGCAUGUGGUUUAAUUCGAUGAUACGCGAGGAACCUUACCAGGGCUUAAAUGGGAAAUGACAGGGGCAGAGACGCCCCCUUCUUCGGACAUUUUUCAAGGUGCUGCAUGGUUGUCGUCAGCUCGUGCCGUGAGGUGUCAGGUUAAGUCCUAUAACGAGCGCAACCCCUACCGUUAGUUGCCAGCACGUAAUGGUGGGAACUCAUGGGAUACUGCCGGGGUCAACUCGGAGGAAGGUGGGGAUGACGUCAAAUCAUCAUGCCCCUUAUGUCUUGGGCUUCACGCAUGCUACAAUGGCCGGUACAGAGGGCUGCAAUACCGCAAGGUGGAGCGAAUCCCAAAAAGCCGGUCUCAGUUCGGAUUGAGGUCUGCAACUCGACCUCAUG